GCUGAAUGUGCUGCAAGCUUGGUUUAUUUUUGUUUCUCCCCCUCCAUUCUUCACUGAUUAAAUUUAUAAAGUUUAUAGGUAUCGUUUCAAUUUCUUCCAGAGAAGCCUUAACCUAAGCACUGAGACCACUCACGCCCUGAGUGGCACCUCUCUUCCACCAGCACGAGGAUAAAGCUGUUUUAACUAGAAAGCAUUUUUAUAAUUUUGAUGUGGCCAAAGAUCUCCCCACAACACUACUUUCAGGUUUUAUUUUUCUGUCUAAUGUCCGGAACAGAUCAACCCCUUCCCUGCCUCACACUCAGGACAUGAAGGCAACAUAUCAGUAAAAUUCCAUCAGUGUUUGUGGAUUUCAUGAAUGAAUGCAUUUUUUUUUUGACAAAAUCUCCCUCUGUCACCCAGUCAGGAGGGCAAUGGUGUAAUCUCGGCUCACUGCAAACUCAGC
rnacentral:lncRNA from 1 species